GAGUAAUUACACAUUAUAUUAGAGAAGACGGAGAGCAGUGCGUCUGCAGAGAAAGUUUAUGUGCAGUAAGUGGACGGACAUCAAAGAAAUCAGCAAAACAGCAGAAGUUUAGGACAACGAAGGCAUCUGAUGAUCCUGAUUUCCCACAGUCAGCAGACCGAAUAGUGAGACGGCGGGUAAUUCGGACCGCCAGUCUCCCAUAAACUCACUUCCUGGUCCGUCUCUGACGCGAGGUCCAGGUGGAGGAUCCC